rnacentral:tRNA from 1 species
GAAAAUGACAUAUGUUAUUAAUUACAAUAAUAAAUUCCUUAAAAGGCAUUUUUU